AGGGAAACAACCCAGACCGCCAGCUAAGGUCCCAAAGUAUAUGUUAAGUGGGAAACGAUGUGGGAAGGCUAAAACAGCUAGGAGGUUGGCUUAGAAGCAGCCACCCUUUAAAGAAAGCGUAAUAGCUCACUAGUCGAGUCGGCCUGCGCGGAAGAUGUAACGGGGCUAAACAUAUCACCGAAGCUGCGGAUUUGUCUUAGGACAAGUGGUAGGGGAGCGUUCUGUAAGCGGUUGAAGGUGUACCGGGAGGUAUGCUGGACGUAUCAGAAGUGCGAAUGCUGACAUGAGUAACGAUAAUGCGGGUGAAAAACCCGCACGCCGGAAGACCAAGGGUUCCUAUCCCAUGUUAAUCAGGGUAGGGUAAGUCGACCCCUAAGGCGAGGCUGAAGAGCGUAGUCGAUGGGAAA
rnacentral:rRNA from 1 species